GGAGUAAAAGUCGUAACAAGGUUUCCGUAGGUGAACCUGCGGAAGGAUCAUUAUCGAAAUACUUAUUUAGCGUUCCGUGCUAUCCCAUUGUUUUAUUUACCCUGUUGCUUCCACUGGAUGAGUUUCCAUACCUUGUGUUUGAGAAACUUUGGCUUGUGUAAGAUUCAUUCACGGCCAGCCAGUGAGAAGACCAUUUACAAAACCCUGUUAAGAACCAAUUGUCUGAAUAUUUUACUCCAAUGAAAUAAAACUUUCAACAACGGAUCUCUAGGCUCUG
rnacentral:misc_RNA from 1 species